rnacentral:lncRNA from 1 species
AUAACUCUUCCUGAGCAGCUCCGGAUCAGAAAUGGGUUAUAGAGAGUCCCUGAAGAGUGAUGUGGAGCUGUUCUGCAUGGAUAGAAACUUUAGGGAAGAGUGAGCUUCAGCAGAACCAAGCAAUGGAAGUGCUGCGAAUACAGGAAAUCCCCAUGUCUGGGAUGUGGCACAGCUGCCCAGUGAGGUGGUGGGGUCACUGCCCCUGGAGAUAGUCCUGGAGAGCCAUGGAGGAGCAUGGUAAGUGGGCAUGUUGGGCUGCGAUUGGACUUGGGGAUCUUGGAGGACUUUUCCAACCUUAACGACUCUAUGAUUCUAUAAAUGAGGCUGCAUCUACCAUUGCUGGUUACUCCUGAGCUCUCUCAUCCCAGGGAGAAGGAGGGCGAAAUUCAGAGACUUGGAUGAGAAAUGUGAACACAUUACUGUUUGCUUUCGAGCUCUAGAUUCCUAAUUAAAAAAAAAAAAAAAAAAGAUACAUAUUUCAUGACUGCGUUUGCCUAAAA